rnacentral:rRNA from 1 species
UUACGGACAGUGCCUGGUGGGUAGUUUGACUGGGGCGGUCUCCUCCCAAAGAGUAACGGAGGAGCACGAAGGUGGGCUAAACACGGUUGGACAUCGUGUGGUUAGUGCAAUGGCAUAAGCCCGCUUGACUGCGAGAAUGACAAUUCGAGCAGGUGCGAAAGCAGGUCAUAGUGAUCCGGUGGUUCUGAAUGGAAGGGCCAUCGCUCAACGGAUAAAAGGUACUCCGGGGAUAACAGGCUGAUACCGCCCAAGAGUUCAUAUCGACGGCGGUGUUUGGCACCUCGAUGUCGGCUCAUCACAUCCUGGGGCUGAAGUCGGUCCCAAGGGUAUGGCUGUUCGCCAUUUAAAGUGGUACGCGAGCUGGGUUUAGAACGUCGUGAGACAGUUCGGUCCCUAUCUGCCGUGGGCGUUGGAAAAUUGAAAGGGGCUGCUCCUAGUACGAGAGGACCGGAGUGGACGAACCUCUGGUGUUCGGGUUGUCAUGCCAAUGGCAUUGCCCGGUAGCUAAGUUCGGAAUCGAUAACCGCUGAAAGCAUCUAAGCGGGAAGCGAGCCUUGAGAUGAGUUUUCCCUG